CCCAUUUUCGACGGCGCUGAAGUGUUGAUCCAGAUUUUAUCACAAAAACGGCUUCUUAAAGACAGUGAUAACUCUCAUCUAAUCAGAGCCCUCAACGCGACGUCUUCAAUGCGGUUCGUCGAGCUUAAGUCCCCUGUUACAGUAUAUAUAGCCCGGCCGGUGCAGCUCCGUCGUGGAUCAAUGAUUUAGCCUUUAAUGUGAGUUUCUUUAAUUUCUGCGAAGUGGUGUUUCUACGGAUAUAAAAAGGUAUGCUUUCUCUUCUCCAAAAUCAUCCUCUAUAUUUUUCUUACUAUACUUAUUCUCUGUGAUAUGGCUCUAGAAUGUUAUAUCUCCGAUUUUAAGUCCGGUAGAUGUUCUUCCUCCGUUGACGUUAAGUUGAUACGGUUCUGGGAGAUCAGGAACGUCAGGUACGGUGGAGAUUUCUUCUCGCUGACAAAAGUAAACAGAAACUGUUGCGGUUACGUUCAAUCAAUUCGUCUGGAUUCUUUUUUUUAAGAAAAAUUGUUAUGGCCGUCGAUAUGCUUCUCCUUAGCUCCAAGGUAGGUCCGGCGAUUUAAAAAAAAAACCAACAUUUUUCCUUUGAAAUUUACAAGUAACGUGAUUUGAUCUUAUUCAUAUGAUGUUUGCUUCUUCUUAUGUUAAGUUCCUCUGCCUUUUGUUUCUUACUGUGGCUCAAACAAAUGCAGAUGAUGAUUUAAAGCCAAAGUCUUUACAAGCAGAGUUUGAAUCUGUAAAUGGUAUUAGUGAUAAGUAGGAGGAGCUUUGGUCGCAGUUUCAGGAAUAACAACUACGGAUGCAGUGGCUGAAAUUGUGGUACGCCGUGAUCAGACGGUGGUUCAUGGCGAGGUGAAGAGAAAAGAGGGAUGACAAGGGAGACUGAGCAUGUGGUGGAUGAGAAGACAACGCAGAGGAAAAUAGGAGGAGUCGCCGGAGACAUGUUUAAUGUCUCCUUCACCAGAUCACGAAGUAGAUUACUGCCAUUAGCAGUAUCAUAAGUGCUCUGACAAUGUAAACCAGUGAGUUCCUUUGCCAAGUUGAGUAUGUGUUUCGUCUUGAGAGAUGGUUGAAGAAUAAAACUCCUCCAUAAAAUUGUAAUUUCAGCUAAUUCUAUGACUAUUAAUCAAUGAAUUUUCAUUUUUAAUUA